rnacentral:SRP_RNA from 1 species
GCCAGGUGUGGUGGCUCACACCUGUAAUCCCAGCACUUCAGGAGGCUGAGGUGGGAGGAUCGCUUGAGCCCAGGAGUUCAAGACCAGCCUGGGCAACAUAGUGAGAUCUCAUAUCUA